rnacentral:lncRNA from 1 species
UGAGCUGAGAUUGCACCAUUGCACUCCAGCCUUGGCGGCAAGAGCAAAACUCCAUCUCAAAAAAAAAAGAAAAAGAGAAAAAAGAUAUAGAAGGAACAAAUGACUACUUGGUUACCAACUAUUUUAGUUGUAUUUUGUAUAGUACUAUAUUAUAAAUCUAUGUUCACAUCUAACACAGGCAUGAGUGGAAGGCAGGCAUACAACAUCCUCUUAAACACUUCUAUUAAUGGAGUAUUCAGCACAUCACAAAGUAGCUUUAUGGAUAGCUUGGCUUCUGAAUUUUUUUAAACUAUUAAGUAACAUUAAUAAUUUCCUUUAUUCUAUGUGCACAGAACACCGGCAAUAAAGAUUUCAUUCAUUUACUCAAAAAUAUUUACUGGUUGCCUUUUUGGGGACAGGUACUUUAUGACUUUAUGACAUAGUUACAAUGGUAAAGUAACAAAAUUUCAUUUCAUACCAUCAAGUGUUUAAAAUUAAAAUAAGUAUUUUAGAUGUAGAUAAAUAUGUUUUUCUAAAAAUCACCAAACAGGAUAUAAGUAAUUUAUUUGAUCAUGGCAUUUUAUCACAUACUAUAACAAGAUCUAUUUAUCACAUACUAUAACAAGAUCUAUUCCCAGUAUCUAGAAAGCAAGCCAACGGGCCGGGCGCAGUGGCUCACGUCUGUAAUCCGAGCACUUUGGGAGGCCGAGGUAGGUAGAUUAUGAGCACAAGAGAUCGAGACCAUCCUGGCAAACAUGGUGAAAUCCUGUCUCUACUAAAAAUAAAAAAAUUAGCUGGGGGUGGUUGGCGUGCGACUGUAGUCCCAGCUACUCGGCAGGCUGAGGCAGGAGAAUUACUUGAACCUGAGAGGGGGAGGUUGCAGUGAGCUGAGAUUGCACCACUGCACUCCAGCCUGGUGACAGAGGGAGACUCGGUCUCAAAAAAAAAAAAAAAAAAAAAAAAAGACAGCCACCGAACUGUAAACCAAUUAAAUUGGGAGUAGAACUGGAAGAGUGUGAUUUAUUACCUUGUUUAUAGCCUGAAUGUCUUAAAAAAUGGGUCCCAACUCAAACUUUACAAUUAUCCAUUUAGUGUCAUAAAAUUCUAUAAGUCAAAUAUUAAAAUUGAUCUAUAAGUCUAUUCCCUUUAAAAAAGCCUAUUCCCUGAAGCUCUUACAAAAAUGAAGUAAUAAAGGUAUAUGUUUAACAUGUAUUUAUUUAUUUAUUUGAGGGUUGUGCUUUGUCACCUAGGCUGGAGUGCAGUGGCAUGAUCAUGGCUCACUGCAACCUCUACCUCCUGGGCUCAAGCAAUCCUCCCACCUCAGCCUCCUGAGUAGUUGGGACUACAGGUGUGCGCCAGCACACCUGGCUAAUUUUUGUAUUUUUUGUAGAGAUGCAGUUUCGCCAUGUUGCCUAGGCUAGUCUCAAACACCUGGACUCACCCAAUAAGCCUGACUUGGCCUCUCCAAGUGUUGGGAUUACAGGCAUGAGCCACCACACCCAGCUGGAAAAUGUUUAAAAUUUAUUAAGUGAAAAGUAACUCAUGCUGCAAUGAACGUACUAUGUAAAAAUGUAUGUAUGUGGAACAGGGAAAAAUAUAAACAGUCACAGAAAUGUGUUUAGGUUGGUAGCAUUCUUUUUCCUCUUAAAAAUUCCUUUUUUUGGCCGGGCGCUGUGGCUCACACCUGUAAUCCCAGCACUUUGGGAAGCCGCGGUGGACAGAUCACAAGGUCAGGAGAUCAAGACCAUCCUGGCUAACAUGGUGAAACCCCGUCUCUACUAAAAAUACAAAAAAUUAGCUGGGCAUGGAGGCACUCGCCUGUAGUCGCAGCUACUCGGGAGGCUGAGGCAGGAGAAUCGCUUGAACUGGGGAGAUGGAGGUUGUAGUGAGCCCAGAUCAUGCCACUGCACUCAAGCCUGGGCUGAGACCUCCAGAGUCUGGCUGAGACCUAUGGAGUCUCACUCUGUCACCUAGGCUGGAGUACAGUGGUGCGAUCUCGGCACACUGCAACCUCCACCUCCCAGACAUUCUCCUGCCUCAGCCUCUCAACUAGCUGGGAUUACAUUCGCCCGCCUCCACACCCACUAAUUUUUGUAUUUUUAGUAGAGAUGCGGUUUCCCCAUGUUGGCCAGGCUGUUCUUGAACUCCUGACCUCAAGUUAUACGCCCACUUUGGACUCCCAAAGUGCUGGGAUUACAGGUGUGAGCCACGGCACCAGCCAAAAAUUUCUUUAAAUAUUAGUGGUAUAUUAUUCUCUCAAUAAGUUUUUUUUUUUUUUUUUUUUGAGACAGUCUUGUUUUAUUGCCUAAGCUGGAGUGCAGUGGCACAAUCUCAACUCACUGCAACCUCCACCUCCCAGGUUUAUUUUUUUUCUCAUGCCUCAGCCUCCCAAGAAGCUGGGAUUACAGGCAUGUGCCCCAAAGGCCAGUUAAGUUUUCUUUUUCUUUUUUUCUUUUUUCUUGGUUGAGACGGAUUUUCGCUCGUCACCCACACUGGAGUGCAAUGGCGCGAUCUCGGCUCACUGCAACCUCCGACUCUUGGGUUCAAGCGAUUCUCCUGCCUCAGCCUCCCGAGUAGCUGGGAUUAGAGGCACCUGUCACCACGCCCGCUACUUUUGGUAUUUUUAGUAGAGAUGGAGUUUCACCACGUUGGCCAGGCUGAUCUCAAACUCCUGGCCUCAAGUGAUUCACCUGCCUUGGCCUCCCAAAGUGCUGGAAUUACAGGCCCGGCCUAUUUUUGCAAUAAUUAUGAAUAGCACACCAUUUAAACCUGUUGAUUGAGCCCUCCUUAAAUAACUAAAUACACUACUGGCCAACAUGGUGAAAACCUGUCUCCACUAAAAACACAAAAAAAUGGCCGGGCACAGUGGCUCAUGCCUGUAAUCCCAGCACUUCAGGAGGCCAAGGGGUGUGAAUCACCUGAGGUUAGGAGUUCAAGACCAGCCUGGCCAACAUGGUGAAACCCUGUCUCUACUAAAAAAAAAUACAAAAAUUAGCUGAGUGUAGUGGCACAUACCCGUAGUCUCAGCUACUCAGGAGGCUGAGGCAGGAGAAUUGCUUGAACCUGGGAGGCAGGGGUUGCAGUGAGCCAAGAUCGUGCCACCACACUCCAGCCUGGGUGACACAGCGAGACUCCAUCUCAAAAUAAAUAAAUAAAUAAAAAGAAAGGGACCGAGCGCGGUGGCUCAUGCUUGUAAUCCCAGCACUCUGGGAGGCUGAGUUGGGCAGAUCACAAGGUCAAGAGUUCAGGACCAGCCUGACCAACACGGUAAAACCCCAUCUCUACUAAAAAUACAAAAAUGAGCUGGGUGUGAUGGCACGCGCCUGUAACCCCAGUUACUCAAAAGGCUGAGACUACAGGCGCACGCCAGCAUGUCCAGAUAAUUUUUUGUAUUUUUAGUAGAGAUGGGGUUUCACCAUGUUGGCCAGGAUGGUCUCAAAUCUCUUGACCUCGUGAUCUGCCCAUGUCGGCUUCCCAAAGUGUUAGGAUAACAGGCAUGAGCUACCGUGCCCAGCCUACUUAAAAUAUUCUUGAAAUAGCUCUCCCCACCUCCUUUUUUUUUUUUUUUUGAGAAUGAGUUUCACUCGACACCCAGGCUGGAGUGCAGUGGUGCGAUCUUGGCUCACUGCAACCUCUGCCUCCCAGGUUCAAGCGAUUAUCCUGCCUCAGCCUCCUGAGUAGCUGGGAUUACAAAUGUGCACCACCACAUCUGGCUAAUUUUUUUUUUUUUUUUUUGUAUUUUUAGUAGAGACGGGGUUUCACCAAGUUGGCCUGGCUGGUCUCGAACACCUGACCUCAAUUGAUCCACCUGCCUCGGCCUCCCAAAGUAUUAUAGGCAUGAGCCACCGAGCCCGGCCUUUUUUGUUUUUUGUUUUUUUAAAGGCAGGGUUUUGCUCUGUUGCCCAGGCUGGAGUGCAGUGGUGUGAUCACAGAUCACUGCAGCCUUGACCUCUCCUGGUCUCAAGUGAUCCUCCCACCUCAGCCUUCAGAACAGCUGGGACUACAGGUGUGUGUCACCAUGCCCAG